UGAUAAAUUUGUUUAUGAAUAAAGAUUGAUCUGUUGAAAGCAGAUAUUUUGAGUUAAAUGCCAAAAGCUCUCCUCCUAUUCAAAUUUGACAUUGAAGUGGUGCAUACAACAUAUUUGCCCACCGGCAACUAUAGUUGCCGCACAUUCAAAUACGAUUUUCAAGAAAAAAAACUAAAACCUGGGGAAAAUAAAUGCUGAACAUGUUCACAUAGGACACUAUUAACAUGACUCUAUGCAUGAAACCAUUCGGAAAAAUUUGGGCACAAAUGGGUUACGAAAUGAUGAUAUGCAGCCACAACUAUGCACCCCGUGAGUAUAAGCUAAUUUAAUUGUUCUUUUCAGUGUCCAGUUACUGAAUACUUGAUAUGAAGAAUAUUGUUUAUGAAAUGUUAUGUAGUAUAUGUACGCUAAAAAGCUUACAAUCUCUACAUAAGUUGUGCGGGUGUAGUGGUUGCAUUUGUUUAUUCCACUUCUCACUCCUGUUGACAAGGCUACUAAUAAAGAGUCAUAUUUGCUUUGAACUAUAGUGCACAUGCUUUUCAAAACGCUCUUAAAUGAGAUACAUAGUGUUUCUAGAUAAUCCUCUGUGGAAAAUUCAUUUCCAAGUGACACAUCUCAUUCAGCUCCACAUCUCUUUACUGCUUCACUACUGCCCUCUUUCUGUCUUGAGAUGAGAGGAGAUGCUAUGAGAGUUUAUGUUGCUGUGACAGAUCGUUUUCACCAAUAUUGUGGCUUUAGCACAUGACAGACUAAAUAGAUUUUAAUGGUAUAGUUGGAGCACUUCGUAGCUCUGAAAUAUAUGUAUAGAUUUUAUUUUUUUUAUUUGUUGGAGGGCGUCGAAGAAAUCUCAGGUCAUUUUUUGAAAAGUUUGGGGGGAAAAAACUUGGAAAAAGUGGUCUUUAUUAAAAGAAGAACUUUUAAAAUGUCGUACCAAAACACCAAACGUGUUCAAGGCUAGUUUAAAACCUACAUUCAACAUCACAAGCAUAUCGGUUCCUCUGAACAGGUGCUCGUUCUGCAGGGCCCACCACAUACACAAGAGCGAUGUGCCCGACAAAACUCUCCACUUGAUGAGUCACUGGCCCGCUCAUCUCAUCCUGAGGCGGAGGUUCCUGUAGUCACUCCUGCUGCAGCUCAGCGCCCGUUUCCCGACCUGUGGUCGGUUGCCAGUAAUA
rnacentral:lncRNA from 1 species